rnacentral:lncRNA from 1 species
GGGGGUUGUCCAAGGCCACCUAGUUAUUGGGAGAGCCCAUACUUCCCAUUCUGCUGCCUCCAUCACCUCUCCUGACCCCCAUUGGCUCUUCUGGGCCCUCCCUUUUCAUGAUGUCUCAAUUUUCUCCUUCUCCAUCCUCACCAGGGGUCCCUGGGAUUUCCCGGUUUUCCUGGUGCCAGUGGAGAGAAGGGAGCCCGGGUAAGCUGCGGGAAGGGAGAGGGUGUGGAGGGCAAGGCUUCCAUGUGGGUGGAAUCAUGCCCUGGGUGAUGUAUUGUUUCUCCUUCCUUCCUACCAGGGCCUGUCGGGGAAAUCAGGGCCUAGGGGAGAGCGGGGCCCCACGGGUCCACGGGGUCAGCGGGGACCCCGAGGUGCCACUGGGAAGUCUGGUGCUAAGGGAACAUCAGGUGGUGAUGGUCCCCAUGGGCCCCCCGGAGAAAGGGGUCUCCCUGGACCUCAAGGCCCCAAUGGAUUUCCUGGCCCCAAAGGACCUCCGGGUCCCCCUGGGAAGGAUGGGCUACCAGGACACCCAGGCCAGAGAGGAGAAGUGGGUUUCCAAGGGAAGACUGGCCCCCCUGGCCCUCCAGGGGUGGUGGGACCUCAGGGAG